UACGUAGGGCGCAAGCGUUGUCCGGAAUUAUUGGGCGUAAAGAGCUCGUAGGCGGUCUGUCGCGUCGGCUGUGAAAACCCGGGGCUCAACCCCGGGCCUGCAGUCGAUACGGGCAGACUAGAGUGUGGUAGGGGAGACUGGAAUUCCUGGUGUAGCGGUGGAAUGCGCAGAUAUCAGGAGGAACACCGGUGGCGAAGGCGGGUCUCUGGGCCAUAACUGACGCUGAGGCACGAAAGCUAGGGGAGCAAACAGG
rnacentral:rRNA from 1 species